AGUGAACGCUGGCGGUAGGCCUAACACAUGCAAGUCGAACGGCAGCACAGUAAGAGCUUGCUCUUACGGGUGGCGAGUGGCGGACGGGUGAGGAAUACAUCGGAAUCUACUUUUUCGUGGGGGAUAACGUAGGGAAACUUACGCUAAUACCGCAUACGACCUACGGGUGAAAGCAGGGGAUCUUCGGACCUUGCGCGAUUGAAUGAGCCGAUGUCGGAUUAGCUAGUUGGCGGGGUAAAGGCCCACCAAGGCGACGAUCCGUAGCUGGUCUGAGAGGAUGAUCAGCCACACUGGAACUGAGACACGGUCCAGACUCCUACGGGAGGCAGCAGUGGGGAAUAUUGGACAAUGGGCGCAAGCCUGAUCCAGCCAUACCGCGUGGGUGAAGAAGGCCUUCGGGUUGUAAAGCCCUUUUGUUGGGAAAGAAAAGCAGCAGGUUAAUACCCCACUGUUCUGACGGUACCCAAAGAAUAAACACCGGCUAACUUCGU
rnacentral:rRNA from 1 species